rnacentral:rRNA from 1 species
GACGUAGGGCGCGAGCGUUGUCCGGAUUUAUUGGGCGUAAAGGGCUCGUAGGCGGUUUGUCGCGUCGGGAGUGAAAAUCCAGGGCUUAACUCUGGACUGGCUUCCGAUACGGGCAGACUAGAGGUAUGCAGGGGAGAACGGAAUUCCUGGUGUAGCGGUGAAAUGCGCAGAUAUCAGGAGGAACACCGGUGGCGAAGGCGGUUCUCUGGGCAUUACCUGACGCUGAGGAGCGAAAGUGUGGGGAGCGAACAGG